rnacentral:tRNA from 1 species
GGGCUCGUAGCUCAGCUGGCCAGAGCACGCGCAUGGCAUGCGCGGGGUCGAGGGUUCAAAUCCCUCCGGGUCCACCA